AAAAUGUUAUGGAAACAUAUGAAUUUAGUGUAGUCAUAUAUUGAAAAAUAAAGGCGUAACAUGCUCUAUAUGAACAGAAGCAAAAUGAAUAAUCAGUGCAGUUAUGCUAAAUUAUUAUGGAAUGCUUAUGGUCACACUAUCAUGGGUGUGGAUUUAUGUGUCAUUUAUAUUUGAAAUGCAUGUGGAGUAGUGAUUACUAAUCGUGACAAAGUGACCCAUAAUAAAGUGAGCAGUAAACUAAAAUAAAUCAACGCAUUUGUAUAAGAAGACCACCCGUCUGCUAUGACGUCAUGUUCUUGAAGCCAAGAUGUUAAACGUCAAAUUGCCAAAACGAAAGCAAAGAAUGAAAACAAGAAGAAAAACAACAAUAAACAAAAUUUGUAUUCUUGACUCUCAGUUCAAGACGUUCUUGUAGUUUACGUAUCAAAAAGUUGAUAUAUUCUGAUAUUUUCAGCUUUCUUGUAAGAUUGGUACUAAGUAAUUGAAAGACCUCGUACCUGCGCCAAAGAAAUUAUCUCGGCUGUAAUACUGUGAGUUAGGGAAAAUGUAAAAAUCGCACUGUAAUCACGCGGAGUUUUGUUUGUGAGCCCUGUUCUGCGUAGUUCUUGUGGUUGGUUCCCUGAAAAAGAUCUAAAGAAUAACCAUGAAGUGUUUUGUGUUCUUAUGUGAAAGUGAUUUCCACGGCCAACUAGAAGAAGUAGCAUUUUCGGUGCACAGAUUCCCAAAGAACUUGGAUCGUCGAUUAGUAUGGCUUCAAGCUAUUUCCAAUGCCGAGAACAAAGUGAUAAAUGUUGACGUUAUUAAUUUUACCUCUGUUCGUAUUUGCUCAAAUCAUUUUCUGGAAAGUGCAUUUUAUUAUAACCAUGGCCGGAAAUGCUAACAAAACAGCCGUACCAUCUGUAUUCAACAACCGUCUCAAUUCAGGAUUUGUAAGCAGUAAUCCAGAUUCAUGUCAGUGGAGUAUCGUUCAUGACUCUGGUCUCGGUGAAACCAAUGAAUUUUCACUACUGAUUGAAUCUGUACCGACUGAGAAUAGCUUAUUUCAUCUACCUACCGGAACCGUGGUUUACAAGGGAGCAAUCUCUUCUCUGAACCCAUCUGCACCUGUGGAUUGAAAACGGUCUAUUUAAUCUACCUACCGGAAACGAAUGUAACGAAGCAUCUAUCUCUACUCCGGAGAAGUAUGUACCUAACGAACAGCGUCGAAGGUAUUUUUCACCCAUGGUUCAUAAAGAUUAUGAUUUCUCAGCAUGCAAUUUCAAUAAACUUCACGGAUCUGAUGAUUUGGAGACUUAUGGUGCUUUACCAAUGACACCGGAUUCAACGAUAAUAUUGUACCCAAGUUCCCUGCGAAUCAGCUUGUUCUUCGUGAAAAUAAUUCAAAUGCCAAAGGACGCCGAAGGUAUUAUUUAUAUAUUAUUAUGCUAGUAUGCCGGAGACAUCAAGGAUGAUAUAAUUGCGGAAGAAGCCUUAACAGCUGUGCCCAAGCUUAAGAAACAGCUCGAUCGGUCUCAGAAAACUAUUAAGCUGCUUCGAGGCCAAAAUAAACGCUUGAAGGAUCAAAUCUCUAGUUUGAAGGACUUGUUUGAUAUGCUCAAGUCAAAAAACUUCAUUUUUGACUCGUGCAACACGAUUCUGAAGGAUUAUUCAUCAAACGAUACUUUUUUUACGAAUUGAAAUCCCGAACGCAUGGCCAACCGUACAGUGCUGAAAUGUGAAGCUUUGCUACGACAUUGCCUUUUUAUUCACCGAAAGCGUACAGAUACGUGCGACACAUGUUCAACAAAACACUACCACACCAGCGAACUAUAAACCGCUGGUAUGAAAGUGUCAAUGGAGAACCGGGAAUCACAAGGGAAAGCUUGGAAGCUUUAAAGGUGAAAGCAAAUGAGACCAAACUUCAAGGAAAGUUGCUGCUAGGAUGCCUUAUGAUGGACGAGAUGGCCAUCCGCCAGCAAGUAAUUUGGAAUGAGCAGACCAAAAAACUGGAGGGAGUGGCCUAUUUGCAUUCUACCCAAACAACCGAAAAAAAUGCCAAGUCGUCAGCAGAACAAACACCUGCAGCAAAGGAAGCACUUGUAUUCAUGGUCACUGGCGUUCAAGACCCAUGGAAAAUACCGGUCGCUUAUUUUUUUUAUUAAAGGACUAAACGCUAUU